GUCGGCUUGGGCGUUGGAGCUCCUUUGAUCCGCACCAUGUCGUUGAGCGCAUUCUUCUUCAAUAGGACGUAGACCAACGUCUUGGUUUCCGGUGAGGGAGGGAGAUGAACCUCCUGCGGUUCUUGAGCGCCAUAACCGCUUUCCUGAUCGCCAUCCUCGUCGUCGUCGUCGUUGGCAUUAAACUGAUACGAAUUUCUCGAGGGAAAGGAGUUCCUGUGAAUGAAGUGAUUGUUGCUGGACACAAAUCUUCCUCCACCGUUGCCGUUGGGAUUAAAAGGGGAGGAAAAUAAGGGCGUGUCAAAGUGGGCAUGUGACCCCCCUUGGUGUCUUCCACUUCCGCUGUAAAUGCUGCCGUAUGGAGAACUUUCACCGACAUCGUCAUCCUCGCUCUGACUGAUGGCAGAACAUCCGCAGAAAAUUAUGAUCAGAAUUAAGGAUACAUCAAAUUCAGCAAUUUGUACACACGAAACGGAAAAUUGAUUCAUUGUACUUGGAAAAAUGGAAAAUAUUGGUUUUAAGACUCGUGGCGAAAUGUAAUAAUUUUAUAAUUACCGAAAAUAUCCCCAUCAUUUUCUGGAAACUUUUUAUCUCGUUCGAAUUAAACUCGGAAUUAUGUGUUAAUAGAUAAAUGAUGAAUCUGUAUCGUAGAGGAAAUAUAAACAAGUACUGAAUUGUGAUUAGAAAUUCCAGCCAUUUUUAUUCUAAAAAAUUUCAUGUAAUAGAAAUUAUGAGUUAAUUAUACGCCGUAAUAAAAGUUAAUCCAGUCUGAAUAUAUAUUAAGAAAUACGACAGAUAGCACCUAGAUCUACUUCUAAGAGGACGCGUUUUAUUGAAAUUUGUCAAUACUGGAUCAAUCUUACAAAUUCUAAAUCCCUGAAGAACCCAAUAAUCCGAUCGAGCCAGAAAAAAUGUAUCAUAAAUGAAAAGAAAAGUUUCGCGUGACAAACGGUUUAAAAUUAAAAUUCACUCAACAUCGCUCAUAUCAAGUUUCAAAUUGAUCCAUUCUGCCGGAAAAAAUUACAAAAAUUACACCAUUGUAUUUUUACCUUACCCAUCCUGUCAAUUUAACAAAGUCAUUAUUUAGAUUAAUUAAUAAACCAUUUAUUACUUAUCGAG